UUAAGCAUAUUAAUAAGCGGAGGAAAAGAAACUAACAAGGAUUCCCUCAGUAACGGCGAGUGAAGCGGGAAGAGCUCAAAUUUGAAAUCUCCGAUGCUUGCAUCGGCGAGUUGUAGUUGCGAGAAGCACUUUCUAGGCGGAUCGGCGGUGCCUAAGUUGCUUGGAACAGCACGUCACAGAGGGUGACAACCCCGUCUGUGGCGCCGCCGGCCGCCCACGAUGUGCUUUCGAAGAGUCGGGUUGUUUGGGAAUGCAGCCCAAAACGGGUGGUAAACUCCAUCUAAAGCUAAAUACUGGCGUGAGACCGAUAGCGAACAAGUACCGUGAGGGAAAGAUGAAAAGAACUUUGAAAAGAGAGUUAAAAAGUACGUGAAACCGUUGAAAGGGAAACGAAUGGGCUCAGCAAUGCACCCUUUGAGAUUCAGCCGGUGGGUGGGAUCGGCGCCGGGUUUGCGGAUCUGAAUGGACCGCGGCCAGGCGCUCGUUUCUCCCUGGCCGUCGCACUUCUCUUGGGUGCGCGUCAACGUCGGUUGGGACUGGGUCUGAAAGGUGCCGGGAAGGUAGGCGUGGGCCUCCGGGUCCGUGCUGUUACAGCCCGGUUCUCCUCAUGGCUCGGGCUCGACCGAGGAGUUGCAGGGCAUGCCUGCUGUGGCUAGGGUCCCGUCCUUCCGGCCGGCUGUCCAAUGCCGUGGACUGCUUGCAGUGCUCGGCGAACGCUGCCGGUCGUUGGGAUGGUGAUCUCGUACCAUGCCCUUAGGAUGUUGGCGGUCAUAUG
rnacentral:rRNA from 1 species